CCAGGACUAAACCAGGACUAGACCAGGACUAAACCAGGACUAAACCAGGACUAAACCAGGACUAAACCAGGACUAAACCAGGACUAAACCAGGACUGAACCAGGACUAAACCAGGACUAAACCAGGACUAAACCAGGACUAAACCAGGACUAGACCAGGACUAAACCAGGACUAAACCAGGACUAAACCAGGACUAAACCAGGACUAAACCAGGACUGAACCAGGACUAAACCAGGACUAGACCAGGACUAAACCAGGACUAGACCAGGACUAAACCAGGACUAAACCAGGACUGAACCAGGACUAAACCAGGACUGAACCAGG
ensembl:lncRNA